GCAGCAUGACCUAGCAGUAGGUUGAUGGCGACCGGCGCACGGGUGAGUAACACGUAUCCAACCUACCGGUUAUUCCGGGAUAGCCUUUCGAAAGAAAGAUUAAUACCGGAUAGUAUAACGAGAAGGCAUCUUCUUGUUAUUAAAGAAUUUCGAUAACCGAUGGGGAUGCGUUCCAUUAGUUUGUUGGCGGGGUAACGGCCCACCAAGACAUCGAUGGAUAGGGGUUCUGAGAGGAAGGUCCCCCACAUUGGAACUGAGACACGGUCCAAACUCCUACGGGAGGCAGCAGUGAGGAAUAUUGGUCAAUGGACGAGAGUCUGAACCAGCCAAGUAGCGUGAAGGAUGACUGCCCUAUGGGUUGUAAACUUCUUUUAUAUGGGAAUAAAGUGAGCCACGUGUGGCUUUUUGUAUGUACCAUACGAAUAAGGAUCGGCUAACUCCGUGCCAGCAGCCGCGGUAAUACGGAGGAUCCGAGCGUUAUCCGGAUUUAUUGGGUUUAAAGGGAGCGUAGGCGGACUAUUAAGUCAGCUGUGAAAGUUUGCGGCUCAACCGUAAAAUUGCAGUUGAUACUGGUCGUCUUGAGUGCAGUAGAGGUAGGCGGAAUUCGUGGUGUAGCGGUGAAAUGCUUAGAUAUCACGAAGAACUCCGAUUGCGAAGGCAGCUUACUGGACUGUAACUGACGCUGAUGCUCGAAAGUGUGGGUAUCAAACAGGAUUAGAUACCCUGGUAGUCCACACAGUAAACGAUGAAUACUCGCUGUUUGCGAUAUACGGCAAGCGGCCAAGCGAAAGCAUUAAGUAUUCCACCUGGGGAGUACG
rnacentral:rRNA from 1 species